GGUUAAGCGACUAAGCGUACACGGUGGAUGCCCUGGCAGUCAGAGGCGAUGAAGGACGUGCUAAUCUGCGAAAAGCGCCGGCGAGGUGAUAUGAACCUUUGACCCGGCGAUGUCCGAAUGGGGAAACCCAGUGUGAUUCGUCACACUAUCGUUAACUGAAUACAUAGGUUAACGAGGCGAACCGGGGGAACUGAAACAUCUAAGUACCCCGAGGAAAAGAAAUCAACCGAGAUUCCCCCAGUAGCGGCGAGCGAACGGGGAGCAGCCCAGAGUCUGAAUCAGCUUGUGUGUUAGUGGAASSGUCUGGAAAGUCSSRCGRUACAGGGUGACAGYCCCGUACACGAAAGCACACAGGUUGUGAACUCGAAGAGUAGGGCGGGACACGUGGUAUCCUGUCUGAAUAUGGGGGGACCAUCCUCCAAGGCUAAAUACUCCUGACUGACCGAUAGUGAACCAGUACCGUGAGGGAAAGGCGAAAAGAACCCCGGCGAGGGGAGUGAAAAAGAACCUGAAACCGUGUACGUACAAGCAGUGGGAGCACCYUYGUGGUGUGACUGCGUACCUUUUGUAUAAUGGGUCAGCGACUUAUAUUCUGUAGCAAGGUUAACCGUAUAGGGGAGCCGAAGGGAAAC
rnacentral:rRNA from 1 species